AGUAAAAUAAGCUAAUAAAAGCUCUUGGGCCCAUACCCCGAACAUAAUGGUUAAAAUCCAUUUUUUACUA
rnacentral:tRNA from 1 species